GUAUGACCGACUUGGCCACUAGGGGCAGUAUAAUAAAGGCAUACAGAGCUAUAUGGAUUGUCAUCCGAGUGAGGUUCGUUUUGCUCUGCGGAGACAAAGGCGGCAUGUCCAGUCGGCGAAUACAAAGGGGACCAGUGACACAACAGCAGAGGAAAGUGGUCGGAACAAUAAGAAAGCUUGAAACCUGCCAACUGUUGUAUAAUACCAUAGCUUUCCCCGCUCAGUCAUGUGCCCCCAAAAACAAAGUGCCACCCUCAGUUGGCAUCUUUCCUCCAUCAUUGCACGGGAUGCGAGCAGAAGAAAGGGCGCAUGGUGGGGGCAAAUGGAUUCAUCCAGCUGGAAGUACAACUUGGCACAGUGUUACACUGCUGAUUGCCACAUGGAAGUCACAAAGACUGAUGAGGAGUCACUCUACUGUUAUUUGCUGGACAGAAUGGUUAUGCGUGUUUGAUGACGCUAAGUCUAAUAAAUGUGAAAACAAUUGAGCAAAACGACACAAAAUUUUGUUGGGUCCAAAUUAUGGCACGCUUGAUACCAGCUGAUGGGAAAUACUGCAUUCCCGAAAAUGGACCAGUCGUGAGCUCUGGCUCAGCUUGUCACCUCCAGUAGCCACCUGUUGCCCUCAAGCCCUUCAUCUGACUCAUCAUACACGAGUGGAGGACUUUGUCUGCUGCAGGUGCACCGAGCCACCCACAACAGUGCUGCCAACCACUGUAUAAGAUUCUAUGACCUUGCAGUAAAAAUAAAUACACAUCUACUUCACUAUUAGGCACAAAAGAGCUUUCUUGGUAUAGGGAAAUACACAGAUAAGUUCAAUUUGUCUGUUUUAAAGCAUCAAAUUGCAUAAUCUGCGCAAGUUUUAAAGAUCAAAUAUGUAAUCAUCUAUUUUUAAUUAGUGUGACUGUAAAUAUCAACUGGGAGUGGAA